GACGAUGUGGCCGAGUGGUUAAGGCGUUGGUUAUUUACACCAAUCUACUUCGGUAGGCGUGGAGUUCAAAUCCCACCAUCGUCA